ACAUGCAGAGAACUUUCCAGAGAUGGAUUGGUGGCCUUCGGGAACGUCUGACACAGGUGCUGCAUGGCUGUCGUCAGCUCGUGUCGUGAGAUGUUGGGUUAAGUCCCGUAAUGAGCGCAACCCUUGUCCUUAGUUACCAGCACGUUAUGGUGGGCACUCUAAGGAGACUGCCGGUGACAAACCGGAGGAAGGUGGGGAUGACGUCAAGCCAUCAUGGCCCUUACGGCCUGGGCUACACACGUGCUACAAUGGUCGGUACAAAGGGUUGCCAAGCCGCGAGGUGGAGCUAAUCCCAUAAAACCGAUCGUAGUCCGGAUCGCAGUCUGCAACUCGACUGCGCGAAGUCGGAAUCGCUAGUAAUCGUGAAUCAGAAUGUCACGGUGAAUACGUUCCCGGGCCUU
rnacentral:rRNA from 1 species